CCCCAGCAUGCAGAAAAAGCAAAAAAGAAAAAAAGAAAAAUAAUAACCGUGGCAAAAAGGAAUCUGUUGACUGGACAGCGGAGGCAGUGAGUUAGUGGCCUAUUAAAGGUCACUUCCCUGACCUAAAACCCCAACCAAUCUUAAAAAAGGGAAGCCCCCGAUAGAAGUCGUAAAAGUCUUCGGCAUGAGUAUAUCGUGUCAGUUGUCGUGUCAUGUCAUGACCUCCUGGAACAUUUUAUGGCCGCUCCGGAAACGAGAAAAACAGGUGACAGGAAUUCAAUUCCCACCCCCACGAACACGAACACCCCGCGCCACUUGAUCCCCAUUUGAUUUGUCAAAUGCUCCAGACAUCAGAGACGUUGGUAUGCAGGGGCAAAAAGCACACACAGUUCUCUCGGCAAGGCAAAAAAGGGUUCCCACAUCGGCCUCACCAGCAAUGACACUUGUAGCAGACGAAUGGGAUCUUGGAGUACCGAGCAGAACCUUGAAUACCCUACAGUACCUAAUAAUAGAUGCUACGUGAUAGUCGCAUUUAUGCUACUUCAAUAUUAAGACUUCGACACGCAGAUUUGGGAAAAUCGUGUUGGUUAUAAUUAGAAUAUUGAAAGACACUUUAACACCCAAGCACUUCUUCAAUGCUGCUCCCGGAACGCUUCCCUUUCCUUGUGGUCCAGACCAAGCAACCUUACUUUGGGACCAUCAAGGGAGAUGAUCCGACUUGGUGUAGAUUCAGGAUACGAGGGACUUUGGGGAUGCGGUGGAUUCCUACCAUCCGCGUAUUCCUCGCCGCCUGCGACUCCGGCGGAGCUAAAAUGACAUUCACUGACACUGAGCACUCGUCGCCUGGGAGUCUUGCAAUAAAAAUAAAACGAUUCUCAAAUAAGCGCUCAGGGAGUUUGUCACCGGAGCUGUCUUUUCCCUGCCAAAACAGCUCGCAUAUCCUUUCUGCCUGCUACACCUGCAAGUAUAUAAUGUACAUACAUACAUCUCUAAGCGCGUCUCCAAAGAAAAACGUACAAAAUGAUCUGUUUUAAUUUGCAGACAACUUAAUAACACUGCCCCUGUAUUAUACUAUAUUGGAAUUUAAGGACUA